rnacentral:rRNA from 1 species
UACGGGAGGCAGCAGUGGGGAAUAUUGCACAAUGGGCGCAAGCCUGAUGCAGCCAUGCCGCGUGUAUGAAGAAGGCCUUCGGGUUGUAAAGUACUUUCAGUCGUGAGGAAGGUGUUAAGGUUAAUAACCUUAGCAAUUGACGUUAGCGACAGAAGAAGCACCGGCUAACUCCGUGCCAGCAGCCGCGGUAAUACGGAGGGUGCGAGCGUUAAUCGGAAUUACUGGGCGUAAAGGGCACGCAGGCGGUUAAUUAAGUUGGAUGUGAAUCCCCGGGCUUAACCUGGGAAUGGCAUUCAAGACUGGUUAGCUAGAGUCUUGUAGAGGGGGUAGAAUUCCAUGUGUAGCGGUGAAAUGCGUAGAGAUGUGGAGGAAUACCGGUGGCGAAGGCGGCCCCUGGACAAAGACUGACGCUCAUGUGCGAAGCGUGGGGAGCAAAC